rnacentral:pre_miRNA from 3 species
UCUUAUGGAUGAGCAAAGAAAGUGGUUUCUUGUGAUGGAACCUUAUCCUUGUGAAGAUGCUGUGUA